AAACUAACAAGGAUUCCCCUAGUAACGGCGAGUGAAGCGGGAAGAGCUCAAAUUUGAAAUCUGGCAGUCUUCGAUUGUCCGAGUUGUAAUCUAUAGAGGCGUUUUCCGUGCCGGACCGUGUCCAAGUCUCCUGGAAAGGAGUAUCAAAGAGGGUGAUAAUCCCGUACUUAACACGACCACCGGUGCUCUGUGAUACGUCUUCUACGAGUCGAGUUGUUUGGGAAUGCAGCUCAAAAUGGGUGGUGAAUUCCAUCUAAAGCUAAAUAUUGGCGAGAGACCGAUAGCGAACAAGUACCGUGAGGGAAAGAUGAAAAGCACUUUGGAAAGAGAGUUAAACAGUACGUGAAAUUGUUGAAAGGGAAACGAUUGAAGUCAGUCGUGUUCUUUGGAUUCAGCCAGUUCUGCUGGUCUACUUCCUUGGAACGGGUCAACAUCAGUUUUGUCCGGUGGAUAAAGGUAGUAGGAAUGUGACUUCUCCGGAAGUGUUAUAGCCUAUUAUCACAUACACUGGGUGAGACUGAGGACUGCAGCUCGCCUUUAUGGCCGGCCUUCGGGCACGUUCGAGCUUAGGAUGUUGACAUAAUGGCUUUAAACGACC
rnacentral:rRNA from 1 species